GGUACCAUGCUAACCAGAUGUUGAGCUUCUAUGCUCCAGGCUGGUGUGGAGAAGUAAGAAAUGUCAUUUCCGCAGAUAAUGGAAGUGUGACGGUUGUUUAUCGUGUCACCAUACGCGGAUCAGAUGGAGAGAUUUGGACAAUGAUAGAUACUCAGACCUCUAAUCAGAGGCAUUGCACUUGUGGCUAAAUCCCAUCUUUCUAGCUUCUCAAGAUAUUCAAGACGAAGGAAUUCCAGUUGACUGAAGCUGUUAUCACUGCAGGCAGAAACGGGUAAGGUUCCCAAAGGGUAAGAAGGUAAAACAUGGCGAUAACACGGUUGAUGGGCGUGAAGAUAAACCUAGUGGGUGGAGAGAUCCUCGCCUUGCAGCCAAAGAGCAUUCGCUACAGCGGAAUCAAAUAACAGCGGAGCUCCUUGAUGAAGAAAAUGAAGGUGAAAUAGCUGAGAUAUCGCGGGCAGAAGUGGAAUAUGAGGAAAAUGAAACAUUCAUUGAUGAUGGGAUUGCAAUAGAGCCUUUUAAUCUGGAUAAAGAGGGAGAAGAAGGUUAUUCUGAUGCAUCAGGAAACUAUGUUGAAUAUUUAAAUGAAAAUGAGAUAAAGUGUUGAUACUGAGAAAAGAUUUUCUGGGAAGAAUGCUAUGAAGAUAUCAAAUGAAGAUGAGAUUCAAGACCUUACGUCAGAACAACUAGGAAAGAUGAAGAGAGGGAAUUGCUGAUGUGCUCGAGCCAGGAGAAACAGUUUUGUGAGGUUUAAGGAGAUUGAAAGGUACCGCAACCGAUAAAAAGGGAAAAAGGUCUGUAGAAACUAAGCAGCUGCUUGAUUAGCUAACGGAAGAUGCUGUGAAGCUGAUGCAGAAUGGAGAUUACAAUGGGUAUUAUGAUGAAAAGCAAGAGAGUUGCCAACGGGAAGCAGAGGGAUAUGAGAAGUUAGCUCUGGCAAGACAGGGUAAAUCCAUUGAAUCAAUGCAGCCUAAGCCCGAUAAUAUCCUCGAUGAAGAUUUCCUUCUCUGUGGGUCAACUGCUACUGCAGGAGGACAUUCUAUGCAUAAUGCAGAUGUGGCUUCAUCAAAUUCAUAUAACACAGCUACCAAGAGCGAUGAUGCAUUUGACAUGUUUGGUGAAGGCGACGAAAAUAUUCCAGCUAAUCCUGCCUCGAAUGGAGCAUGUUUCCUCUUUCCACGUACGUGACUCCCACUCAACGUAAACUGUAGAGCAUGGCGAUUAUGUCUUUGAUGAGUCCUCUGGGUAUGUUUUCUACCUUUAGCUCAUUACACUACUUUUGUCCUUCUGCUCUAGUGUUCUGAUAUCAUACUAAGUAAGAAAUCAAACUGUCUCAUUUUGAAAUUCCACUAGAUUCAACUAGGAGCAGGUUAUUUUAGGGUUCUUCCUUGUUCAAUCAAAGAACUUUUCAACGUUGUAGUUCUAAGGGAAGAGCAUCGCAUCCCAUGGAAUCUAUUUGAACAUAAUUCUUUCUGGAGUUUUACAUUCCAAUAAUGGCAUGGCAGAGGUGUUCCCUUUAGGUUGGCAUUCCGUAUGGCAGUUCCUUGCAAGAUAACUCUUGUUCCAAAACAUGAUAAUACCCAUUUUGGAAGUUCAUGGUAGUAUACUACCUUUCAUGGUAGUAUACUUGAUAUGAUAUCCAUCUUUGUUUUAGCAGUGACAGGGACUACCAAAAUAAGUAGGGGUUACCUGCUUGUCUAAUUUUCUUACAUUGAUCUAGCUCCUUGAUCCUGCUUGCUAACUGGCUAGCAAAAUAGCUGCUCUAAACUUCGCUAAGUGGGUAGUGUAUCAGACUCCACUUGUUUAAUUCUUCAUACCAUGCUGAAGAAUCUAAUUUUCUAAGCCUUCAAAAAAAAAAAAAAAAUCAUAGAAGCCCUUGAAAUGCCUCAAAGACUUAGCAGAUCUUAAGCUUGAAGUGUUGAAAUUUUCAAUGCAAAGAAAUUUUCAAUCUAAAGCCAACCUAUAAUCUGCCUUGUAAGGUUUAGCAUUGUUACUUUUUAAUGUCUACCAAAGGUUUCUCUUACUACUUUUAUAUAUAUUUGGGGUUGUGUUGCCGGCCCGUGAGGAUUUAGUCUAUGUACGCGCAAGCUGGUCCAAACACCACCAUGAUCAAUGUAUCAAAAUAAUAAUAGUAGUAAUAAUGAUCUUCCCUGACAUAUGAAGAAUACUGAUGUAGCCAAAGUCUAAAUUUUCAUUUCACACUUCUGAUGCGAGUCUAUUAGACUUAUUGAAAAGAAAAUAAUAGUUGGUCUAACCUUUUGAAUGUUGUUUUUGCUUAACUGUAGCAAGACUAUUCUUAUUUUUGUAUUUCUUAUUUCUCAGCAUUGUAGCUUUUCUAGAAUUUAAUGUUUUUCUUGUAAUUUUCUAGGAAAAGGUUAAAACCUUAUUUGUUUCUGUGGCUUAGUUAUACUCUGGGUCAUCUUUGGCUGGUAGUAGGAUUCAUAGGAUUUUUGUUAUGUAGCUGGUUUUGGAGUUUUAUUCUGGAAUAGGAGUAGGUCCACUGACUCCACCACAAUGCAUAUAUUUCACUAAAUAUGCCUGGUCUGUUUAUUGUGGAAUGACACAACCUGUCAAGUUUGAGAAAGUGGGUUGAGUGGAUAGGUUUAGUAAUUUUCUAAACGGAUGGUUGACUGGCUGGUUUCUGGGGCUAGUCUUUGUCUUAUUCAGCAUUGGAAAAUAAGACAGCUAAUGUACCUGGGUCAUUGCAAGAACUUUGGUAUAUUAAGGAAAGGCUUUCAUCUGAGUAUUGAAUCAUCUUCCUCAAAAUGGAGAUUUUAGGUGCCCAUAGAGAUUUGGUCUAGUGGUAAGAGCGUGAUGUGUGGGUUAGGUGUAGGUCAUAGGUUCGAACCCGACCGCAGACAAAAGCUUGUUAUAAUUAGAGAGGUAGAAGUCCGUUAGCCACUGAGUUUUGAACCGUGUGCCACUUGGUCCUCAGGAUUUCUCGUUUAUCAAUAGGAAAGAAAGGGAGGAUUUUGGUGAAUGCUUUGUUGGUUUGGCAUCUGCUUUUGGUAGCCAACGUUUUUAUGCCUAAUGUGUCCUAUUUUGGUGUAUGUAAGAGCAUAUGUGCCAGAAACAGGAGUGGAACGAGCAAGUGAAAGAGGUUAUAAUCUUGAGCAUGAUGGGUUUGCAUAAUUAGAUUAAAAGUCCGACAUGAAAAGGCAGACUGAAUUAUUCUGUUUUAAGGGCCAUGUCUCUACAGGUCUUAGCUAACAUUUAGGUAGCGGACCCUGUGUCCUUUCUGCUUUAGUAUGCAUACCCAACCAGCACUCCAGGUGGCCUUUAUUUGGCUCAAUUAUCACGUGUUAUUGAUGUCGGAAAACUACCAAGAUUGAGAAUAACUCGUCAAUUCUCAAGGAUCUCAUCUGAAUUGUAUGUGCUAGUAUGUUAAGUCAUUUUGAUGCAUAGAGGGAAGUACUUUUUCAUCACUUACUUGUACUUUUUCAUCACAUACUUUGUCUGAAAGAUAAGUAGAAGAUGAAACUCUUUAUGAUGGCUAAUUGGUUAUCAAGUUGUACACACAAUUGAUCUUGCUAAGUUUUUUAUAAAUGUGCAAUUUUGGUCUAGGUUCAUGUGCUAUAUCCAAUUUUCAUUUUAUGCUGUUCAAUUUGGCACCUAAAACUUCAAAUUUCAAUAAACAAUUCUCCUGCUGAAUUCAUGCUGCAGUCACAGUCAAAAGUGUUUCCUUUCUUUUUUAUGUGUACUUGUAUUCUUGUGAUAAACUAUUCUAGGCACACCGCGAAUCAACUGGGACAGUAUCACCAGGCAAUGGCCACAGCACAGAUCUGGUUGCUGCUGCUGAGAAGAUAGCAUUUUGCAGAGCAUGUGCCUGUUUCGGAUCCUUAUCAUUAAGAAUGGUCAAGCAGAUGCUACA